GCUCGUUGUCUCUCUGUUCUCGCCGCUGAGUUCGCGUUGCAGAGAGACGCGAGGGCCCCAUUCUUGAAGGUGAUCUGCGACGGGGGCUCAGUGAGGCGAGUGCUGACAGCUUUGUGCUUCGUGUGCUCCGUGUUCUCGCCGUGUCUUUCACGUUCAAGAAAGAAGCGGCACAAAGGUGAACUCACUCGCUGCUGCGGGCGCUAUCUCGAAAGCGAUCGUCUUAUGGGACAGAUGGACGGUUUUUCUCGUUGGAUUUUGCGGUGUUAUGCCACUGACUUCACGAACACUACACGCUCGGGCCUGGCCAUCAGAACUACUGACCAUCGUCGAUUGCAACAUGCCACGCAGCUAUCCUCGGAUGUUAUCAUCUAUGGACUGGCGCAUGCGGAUGGAACGACGACGGCCCGCUGCGAGAACGGAGUGUGUUGACUACUUAAAAGCAGUUGGCAUCGGGGUUUUUCGUGGGCACGGCGAAUUUAUUAGGAUGAAGCCAACUGAACUGCGUUUCCUGUAUUUGCAAGUGUGACCACCGAGGUCCACUGCUGAACCGCCAUGGCAAGAAACGGAACAGCCAGAGUGGCCCAUGCCAAAGCAGGGAUUUGCGGCCAAAAUUCAAGACUACAGUACACAACGGAGACUGAAUGUGUUUUGAUGCGCUUUCACAAUGAAGCAAAGCACGCAGAGGAACAAUCCUGAAAAUUUGUUUUCUCUUUUUUAAGGUACACUUAUAAAUGAAGAAAAUGGUCCGUUUUCGGACUUCCGUUCAAAAGCCAAAUUUGCUAUUUUUGCUUGCGCUGUCCCCUCUGUGCAAUAAAUUGAAUUUAUUAUAGUUCCA